rnacentral:rRNA from 1 species
CCGGCGACCGGCGCACGGGUGAGUAACACGUAUGCAACCUGGCCGUGACAGAUGGAUAACCGGGAGAAAUCCCGCCUAAUACAACAUAGUGCCGGGAGGGGACAUCCCCUGCCGGCCAAAGGGGGCGACCCCGGUCACGGAUGGGCAUGCGGCGCAUUAGGUAGUUGGUGGGGCAACGGCCCACCAAGCCGACGAUGCGUAGGGGUUCUGAGAGGAAGGUCCCCCACAUUGGAACUGAGACACGGUCCAAACUCCUACGGGAGGCAGCAG